ensembl:lncRNA
CCUGGCCCAGACCAGCAGCACUUCCCCCGCUAGCUAACUUAGGAGAAUAAUGCAUGAUGGCUGCUUUAAAGCACUCAGUGUUUGGGUGGUUUGCAGCAAACUGCGACUGUGCUCCUUCAUUCACUUUGCUUUGGAUUCAGGUUUGGUCUGAGAGUCCCUUGGCCAGCAAGAGAUCAAACCAGUCAUUCCUAAAGGGAAUCAGUCCUGAAUGUCCAUUGGAAAAGAUCCUGAUGCUCGGAAAGAUUGAGGGCAAGAGGAAAAGCAGGUGACAGAGGAUGGGUGUUGAAUGGCAUCACCAACUCAAUGGACAUGAGUUUGAGCAAACUUCGGAAAGUAGUGAUGGACAGGGAAACCUGGAGUGCUACAGUCCAUGGUGUUGCAAUGAGUUGGACACGACUUAGCAACUAACAACAGUCUGUAUUGCUCAAUGAGGUCCAGAGGAGCAGCCUGUAAGGAAUGUGAGGAGCAUUAUGACUGAUGGCUGAUGGAGUUUCUUGACAGCCCAAGAGGACCUGGGGUGAGAAUAAGACUCCACUGUGUGGAGGAGGACCUGGGAAUGAGACGGGGCAUCUGGUGUACUCAGAAACCCCCAGUCUGCAUGCGGUGUAUUUAUCGCCUUCCAAGUGUGGCUUUCAUAUUGCUGUGCAUGUAAGUUGACUGUAUUGAGAGAUCUGCCUAUAAAUUAAAUUCCUGAAAUUGCAAAUUAUGUAAGAAAAAACUCCUCUGUCUGAGUGCAGCUUUCACAGGUUUCCCCUUGCAUAAGGCAGGUGUCUUCUGAGAGACAGGGUAAUGUUGCCUGCAUGGUGAACCCUGGAGAAAAGGGUUGAUCCCAGCGCUGCCAUCUCCCGGCCUUGGGGUUCCCCAGCUCUAGCUUUUAGGUUUUGGAAAAGAAUACGAUUUCACUGAGUACCUGUUGAUUAUCAUCACUUUUCCAAGAUUAAUUUGGCC